rnacentral:rRNA from 1 species
UGCGAGCGUGACGGCGCGAGCAGGUGCGAAAGCAGGUCAUAGUGAUCCGGUGGUUCUGAAUGGAAGGGCCAUCGCUCAACGGAUAAAAGGUACUCCGGGGAUAACAGGCUGAUACCGCCCAAGAGUUCAUAUCGACGGCGGUGUUUGGCACCUCGAUGUCGGCUCAUCACAUCCUGGGGCUGAAGUAGGUCCCAAGGGUAUGGCUGUUCGCCAUUUAAAGUGGUACGCGAGCUGGGUUUAGAACGUCGUGAGACAGUUCGGUCCCUAUCUGCCGUGGGCGCUGGAGAACUGAGGGGGGCUGCUCCUAGUACGAGAGGACCGGAGUGGACGCAUCACUGGUGUUCGGGUUGUCAUGCCAAUGGCACUGCCCGGUAGCUAAAUGCGGAAGAGAUAAGUGCUGAAAGCAUCUAAGCACGAAACUUGCCCCGAGAUGAGUUCUCCCUGACUCCUUGAGAGUCCUGAAGGAACGUUGAAGACGACGACGUUGAUAGGCCGGGUGUGUAAGCGCAGCGAUGCGUUGAGCUAACCGGUACUAAUGAACCGUGAGGCUUAACCUU